rnacentral:rRNA from 1 species
UACGUAGGGCGCAAGCGUUGUCCGGAAUUAUUGGGCGUAAAGAGCUCGUAGGCGGCUUGUCACGUCGGGUGUGAAAGCCCGGGGCUUAACCCCGGGUCUGCAUUCGAUACGGGCUAGCUAGAGUGUGGUAGGGGAGAUCGGAAUUCCUGGUGUAGCGGUGAAAUGCGCAGAUAUCAGGAGGAACACCGGUGGCGAAGGCGGAUCUCUGGGCCAUUACUGACGCUGAGGAGCGAAAGCAUGGGGAGCGAACAGG